rnacentral:rRNA from 1 species
UCGAGAAUUUUUCUCAAUGGGCGAAAGCCUGAAGGAGCGACGCCGCGUGGGGGAUGAAGGUCUUCGGAUUGUAAACCCCUGUCAUCUGCGAACAAACCUUUCCAUUGAACAGGUGGAGAGCUGAUUGUAGCGGAAGAGGAAGGGACGGCUAACUCUGUGCCAGCAGCCGCGGUAAUACAGAGGUCCCAAGCGUUGUUCGGAUUCACUGGGCGUAAAGGGUGCGUAGGCGGCGGGGUAAGUUCGAUGUGAAAUCUCCAGGCUCAACCUGGAAAUGGCAUUGAAUACUACUCUGCUUGAGGCUUGGAGGGGGGACUGGAAUGCUCGGUGUAGCAGUGAAAUGCGUAGAGAUCGAGCGGAACACCAGUGGCGAAGGCGAGUCCCUGGACAAGUCCUGACGCUGAGGCACGAAAGCUAGGGGAGCAAACAGG